rnacentral:rRNA from 1 species
UGGGGAAUCUUGCGCAAUGGGCGAAAGCCUGACGCAGCAACGCCGCGUGGGGGAAGAAGGCUCUCGGGUCGUAAACCCCUUUCAGCAAGGACGAAAUUGACGGUACUUGCAGAAGAAGGACCGGCCAACUACGUGCCAGCAGCCGCGGUAACACGUAGGGUCCGAGCGUUGUCCGGAUUUAUUGGGCGUAAAGAGCUCGUAGGCGGUUCGGUAAGUCGGGUGUGAAAGCUCAGGGCUCAACCCUGAGAAGCCACUCGAUACUGCCAUGACUUGAGUCCGGUAGAGGAGCAUGGAAUUCCUGGUGUAGCGGUGAAAUGCGCAGAUAUCAGGAGGAACACCAGUAGCGAAGGCGGUGCUCUGGGCCGGUACUGACGCUAAGGAGCGAAAGCGUGGGGAGCAAACAGGAUUAGAUACCCCCGUAGUCC